rnacentral:rRNA from 1 species
ACAUGCAAGUCGAGCGGACAGAAGGGAGCUUGCUCCCGGAUGUUAGCGGCGGACGGGUGAGUAACACGUGGGUAACCUGCCUGUAAGACUGGGAUAACUCCGGGAAACCGGAGCUAAUACCGGAUAGUUCCUUGAACCGCAUGGUUCAAGGAUGAAAGACGGUUUCGGCUGUCACUUACAGAUGGACCCGCGGCGCAUUAGCUAGUUGGUGGGGUAAUGGCUCACCAAGGCGACGAUGCGUAGCCGACCUGAGAGGGUGAUCGGCCACACUGGGACUGAGACACGGCCCAGACUCCUACGGGAGGCAGCAGUAGGGAAUCUUCCGCAAUGGACGAAAGUCUGACGGAGCAACGCCGCGUGAGUGAUGAAGGUUUUCGGAUCGUAAAGCUCUGUUGUUAGGGAAGAACAAGUGCGAGAGUAACUGCUCGCACCUUGACGGUACCUAACCAGAAAGCCACGGCUAACUACGUGCCAGCAGCCGCGGUAAUACGUAGGUGGCAAGCGUUGUCCGGAAUUAUUGGGCGUAAAGGGCUCGCAGGCGGUUUCUUAAGUCUGAUGUGAAAGCCCCCGGCUCAACCGGGGAGGGUCAUUGGAAACUGGGAAACUUGAGUGCAGAAAAGGAGAGUGGAAUUCCACGUGUAGCGGUGAAAUGCGUAGAGAUGUGGAGGAACACCAGUGGCGAAGCGACUCUCUGGUCUGUAACUGACCCUGAGGAGCGAAAGCGUGGGGAGCGAACAGGAUUAGAUACCCUGGUAGUCCACGCCCUAGACGAUGAGUGCUAAGUGUUAUGGGGGUUUCCGCCCCUUAGUGCUGCAGCUAACCCAUUAAACACUCCCCCUGGGGACUACGGUCGCGAGAACGGGAGCUCAUAAGAAUUGAACUGGAGGCGCCCCCGGGCGGUGGAAUCGUGUGCUGUUAUUUCCAAGGAACGCCGAGGAGCCUUACCCAGUCGUGAGAU